rnacentral:rRNA from 1 species
GUGCGUAACGCGUGGGAAUCUGCCUUUGCUUCGGAAUAACAGUUAGAAAUGACUGCUAAUACCGGAUGAUGUCUUCGGACCAAAGAUUAUCGGCAAGGGAUGAGCCCGCGUAGGAUUAGGUAGUUGGUGGGGUAAAGGCCUACCAAGCUGACGAUCCUUAGCUGGUCUGAGAGGAUGAUCAGCCACACUGGGACUGAGACACGGCCCAGACUCCUACGGGAGGCAGCAGUGGGGAAUAUUGGACAAUGGGCGAAAGCCUGAUCCAGCAAUGCCGCGUGAGUGAUGAAGGCCUUAGGGUUGUAAAGCUCUUUUACCAGCGAUGAUAAUGACAGUACCUGGAGAAUAAGCUCCGGCUAACUCCGUGCCAGCAGCCGCGGUAAUACGGAGGGAGCUAGCGUUGUUCGGAAUUACUGGGCGUAAAGCGCACGUAGGCGGUAUAUCAAGUCAGGGGUGAAGGCCCGGAGCUCAACUCCGGAACUGCCUUUGAAACUAGUAUACUAGAAUCUUGGAGAGGCGGGUGGAAUUCCGAGUGUAGAGGUGAAAUUCGUAGAUAUUCGGAAGAAC